CCGUGCUAGACGGGGAGCUAGCGGUGCCCUUGACCCGCAAUCCGCUAUAGCGGGGUGUAAUUCCUCCCCUAGGCCAAACCUGUUGGGCCGCUGCCCAGGGUGAGCAGUGUUGAUGACCGGGUCCCACGCGGCGCAGGCUUGUGAACCCCGCCAGGUCCGAGAGGAAGCAACGGUAAACAGGUCCCUGCGGGUGCCGUGGGAACGCCUGGUCUGAGUUGUUGCCCCGGGGAUGUCCAUAGGGUUUUCGUCAACGGGGGGUGCGCGG
rnacentral:SRP_RNA from 1 species